AGUAGAAUGAAUCUGACAUAACUUUCCUAAAGUUCUUAUAUGAAUACAUGACCAGUGAAACUCCACAUCUAUACAACCACAAAAUGGUAUCCUAAUUAGAGUAAGUUAUACUCCAUGCAUGUAUGAUAUGUUAAAAUACACUCUACUGUCGUGUAUCUAAAAAGAACAACAACAAAAAAGAAAAGCAAUAGAGUAUGAUGUGGGACAAAUAAUAGGAGUUGAAUUUUGUAUUUUAUUGAUAACAUUAGGCCUGAAAAAAUAGACAGGACCACACGAUAUUAAGCGGGAAAUAAAGGCCAGGCUGUGAACUCUUUGAAGGUUAUUUCUAGUUCAACCAGAAAUUCUGGUCAGCCCCCAUUAGGAGAAAAUGAAACCAAUAGAAGAAAUACCCCCCUCUAGUGGCGAGGAGCCAGGUUCUACACUUGGUUGCUACUUUGGGUGACAGGAAUGGGUGAUUUUUAGUUUCUUAAGAGGAAUCCUGAGGACCUAGAGGUAGAGUACCUAAGGAAGAUCUUUAGCUCAGGCUUUCCUUAUCAAGAGAGUUGGCACAUUUCUCAGGUUCUAUUAUAUGGAAUCGAUUAUCUGAAAAUAUAUAGAGGCUACAGUUAUUUGAAGAAGUUUACAGUCUCUUAUGAAAGCUACAUAGAGAUCAUAAGAAUUAGUUCAUUGUUGCUAAACUUCUUACUGGAGUGAAAGAAUGUUGUAGGUACCUUUGUAAACCCAUUGGCAGGGGGAUAAGUACUAUAUUAAAGUCAUGGGUAAUGCCAUAGAGUAGUAUUCACUUAGGUUCAUGCAGAAUAGUGGCUAUAGUUUUGAUUUGAAGUUUUUAGUGAUGAUUCUGAGAACCAGAUGUUUAAUUUAUGUCUUGGAAGUAAUAUAAUUGCUUCCUAUGAAAAGGCAAUGAAAUUUAGUAUGUUAAAAAUAACAUUACCCAUGAUUCAGUGGCUCAGGAGGAACACCUAAUGCAUUUUUGAAAGAUCACAUUUUAUAAGAGUAUGUUGUUAAAAGUAAUAGUUAUGGUUAUUAUAUUUGUAAGUCUCACCCAUAGUUCUUUGAAGUUUUUGUUGUUUCAACUUCUGUUUGGACAUACUUUAUUGAAGUUUACUUAAUGAUUUCUGAAGAGGCAAAAUUUCAGAGAAUAACAUUUUAGUGAUACUCUGUUAUAUAUAAGGAAGAUUUCAAUGCCAUAUAUCUCUAAUAACAAUGCUUAAGAUACUAGAAAAAUAAAUUCUGGUACAUGAUUGCAUUUUUAGUAUGCCAUUUCUUUAUAGU
rnacentral:lncRNA from 1 species